ensembl:lncRNA
GGGGUUUCUGUACAGCACUUUGAGAUAUCAGCUGAUGUAAGAAGGGCUUUAUAAAUACAUUUGAUUUGAUUUCUACUCCCAAGUUGUUACACAGGAGAUAUGUGCCUUACAACAGGCAGGUUCUGUCCACCCCCCAGGUUACCUCCUUACAACAGGCAGGUUCUGUCCACCCCCCAGGUUACCUCCUUACAACAGGCAGGUUCUGUCCACCCCCAGGUUACCUCCUUACAACAGGCAGGUUCUGUCCACUCCCCAGGUUACCUCCUUACAACAGGCAGGUUCUGUCCCCUCCCAGGUUACCUCCUUACAACAGGCAGGUUCUGUCCACCCCCCAGGUUACCUCCUUACAACAGGCAGGUUCUGUCCCCUCCCCAGGUUACCUUCUUACAACAGGCAGG